rnacentral:snRNA from 1 species
UUAGGUCCUGUUUGUUUGGCCAU